rnacentral:rRNA from 1 species
GAUGAACGCUGACAGAAUGCUUAACACAUGCAAGUCGAUGGGGAAGUGGUGCUUGCACCAUGGCAACCAUGGCGGACGGGUGAGUAACGCGUAAGGGACUUACCUGCAGGACUGGGAUAACAGGGGGAAACUCCUGACAAGACCGGAUAAUGCCAUGGAGCUGCAUGGCUUUAUGAUGAAAGGAGACGCCUGCGGAGAGCCUUGCGUCCUAUUAGCUAGUUGGUGAGGUAAUGGCUCACCAAGGCGAAGAUAGGUAGCCGGCCUGAGAGGGUGGACGGCCACAAGGGGACUGAGAUACGGCCCUUACUCCUACGGGAGGCAGCAGUGGGGAAUAUUGGACAAUGGGGGCAACCCUGAUCCAGCAAUUCUGUGUGCACGAAGAAGGUUUUCGGAUUGUAAAGUGCUUUCAGCAGGGAAGAAGUAAGUGACGGUACCUGCAGAAGAAGCGACGGCUAAAUACGUG